UACGGAGGAUCCGAGCGUUAUCCGGAUUUAUUGGGUUUAAAGGGUGCGUAGGCGGGAGAUUAAGUCGGUGGUGAAAUUUUGCAGCUCAACUGUAAAAGUGCCAUUGAUACUGGUUUCCUUGAGUGUGGAUGAAGUAGGCGGAAUUUGUGGUGUAGCGGUGAAAUGCAUAGAUAUCACGAGGAACUCCGAUUGCGCAGGCAGCUUACUAAACUACUACUGACGCUCAGGCACGAAGGCGUGGGGAUCAAACAGGAUUAGAUACCCGGGUAGU
rnacentral:rRNA from 1 species